AGAGUUUGAUCCUGGCUCAGAGCGAACGCUAGCGGCACGCUUAACACAUGCAAGUCGAACGAAGAACCUUCGGGUUUUUAGUGGCGAACGGGUGAGUAACACGUAGAUAACGUACCUUUUGGCGGGGGAUAACCAAGGGAAACCUUGACUAAUACCCCGCAUAUGUCCUUCGGGAUAAAAGGCCUUCGGGUCACCAAGAGAUCGGUCUGCGGCCCAUUAUCUAAUCCUAGUUGGUAGGGUAACGGCCUACCAAGGGUACGAUGGGUAGCUGGUCUGAGAGGAUGAUCAGCCACACUGGGACUGAGACACGGCCCAGACUCCUACGGGAGGCAGCAGUGGGGAAUAUUGGACAAUGGGCGCAAGCCUGAUCCAGCGAUGCCGCGUGUGUGAUGAAGUAAAGCACUGUCGGGAGGGACGAAGAUAGUCAGCUUGCUGAUUAUUUGACGGUACCUCGCAAGAAAGCACCGGCUAACUCCGUGCCAGCAGCCGCGGUAAUACGGAGGGUGCAAGCGUUGCUCGGAAUCACUGGGCGUAAAGCGACCGCAGGCGGUCUACUAAGUUGGGUGUGAAAGCCCGGGGCUCAACCCCGGAACUGCAUUCAAAACUGGUAGACUUGAGUAUGGGAGAGGAGGGCGGAAUUCCUGGUGUAGAGGUGAAAUUCGUAGAUAUCAGGAGGAACAUCCGUGGCGAAGGCGGCUCUCUGGCCCAAUACUGACGCUCAUGGUCGAAAGCGUGGGUAGCAAACAGGAUUAGAUACCCUGGUAGUCCACGCCGUAAACGAUGAUUGCUAUCUGAUGGAGGUCUAUACCCAUUCAUUGGAGAAGUUAACGCAUUAAGCAAUCCGCCUGGGGAGUACGGCCGCAAGGCUAAAACUCAAAGGAAUUGACGGGGGCCCGCACAAGCAGUGGAGUAUGUGGUUUAAUUCGACGCAACGCGCAGAACCUUACCCAGCCUUGACAUCCUGAGAAUCUGUAAGAAAUUACGGAGUGCCUCCUUACGGAGGAAUUCAGUGACAGGUGCUGCAUGGCUGUCGUCAGCUCGUGUCGUGAGAUGUUCGGUUAAGUCCGGCAACGAGCGCAACCCCUAUCGUUAGUUGCUACCAGUUCGGCUGGGCACUUUAGCGAGACUGCCGGUGAUAAGCCGGAGGAAGGUGGGGACGACGUCAAGUCCUCAUGGCCCUUAUGGCUGGGGCUACACACGUACUACAAUGGCGACUACAGAGGGCAGCGAGACCGUGAGGUGGAGCAAAUCCCAAAAAAGUCGCCUAAGUUCGGAUUGGAGUCUGCAACUCGACUCCAUGAAGUUGGAAUCGCUAGUAAUCGUGGAUCAGCAUGCCACGGUGAAUACGUUCCCGGGCCUUGUACACACCGCCCGUCACACCACGAAAGUUGGCCGGACCCGAAGUCGUUAACCUAACCCUUGGGAAGGAUGCGCCUACGGUCUUGCCGAUGAUUGGGGUGAAGUCGUAACAAGGUAACCGUA
rnacentral:rRNA from 1 species